GUCGCUUUGCCGGAGUGGUUAACGGGUUCGCCUGCUAUUUAUAGCUGUCCAGCGGAUGCACUAUGUGCGCGAGUGUUCGAAUCGCUCAGGCGACG